GAUGAACGCUGGCGGCGUGCCUAAUACAUGCAAGUCGAGCGAACAGGCGAGGAGCUUGCUCCUCUGACGUUAGCGGCGGACGGGUGAGUAACACGUGGAUAACCUACCUAUAAGACUGGGAUAACUUCGGGAAACCGGAGCUAAUACCGGAUAAUAUAUUGAACCGCAUGGUUCAAUAGUGAAAGACGGUUUUGCUGUCACUUAUAGAUGGAUCCGCGCCGCAUUAGCUAGUUGGUAAGGUAACGGCUUACCAAGGCAACGAUGCGUAGCCGACCUGAGAGGGUGAUCGGCCACACUGGAACUGAGACACGGUCCAGACUCCUACGGGAGGCAGCAGUAGGGAAUCUUCCGCAAUGGGCGAAAGCCUGACGGAGCAACGCCGCGUGAGUGAUGAAGGUCUUCGGAUCGUAAAACUCUGUUAUUAGGGAAGAACAAAUGUGUAAGUAACUAUGCACGUCUUGACGGUACCUAAUCAGAAAGCUACGGCUAACUACGUG
rnacentral:rRNA from 1 species